AGCUGCCAGGGCCAGGCAGGUGCAGCGCAGAGAGCUCUGAGCCAGUCUGCUCACCCCUUCCACCCCUGUCCACCCACACCCCGGGCUGUGGCCGGAAGGAGGGGCCUCCAGCAGAAUGGGGGUCCCGGCUAAUCAGGGAAGGAGUGGGAUGGUAAAUGUCUGAGUCCAGGGACCAGCAUAGGCUAGCACAGAGCAAAGGGUCAUGAGAUUGCCUAAAUAUGAGUGAACAGAUAAAUGAAUGAGUAAAGCAAUGAAUGAUGAGGGAAUCAGUGAAUGACCAGGAGCUUGGACAGGCAGCAGAGGGCAGGAGACGAGUGAAGACGGCAGGAAGAGGCUGGAGGAGGCCAAGGCCAAGGCCCUGGGGUGAGGGAGGCUCUGUGGGCCCAGGCUUGGGCCAGGGUUGGCGGAGCACAGGUAGGGGAAGGGGAAGGGCCCUCUCUGGCCUCAGUCUCACCUCACUGGCAAGCUUCUCGUACUCCUCCAUCAGCUUCUCGUUCUCCUGGUUCACAGCCAGCACCUUACAGAUCCUGUUGGCAGCCGUCUCUGCCUGUCGCGGGAGGCCGAAAAGGUCCCCUCUGGCUGGAAUGCGGUUCCAGGGAUGCCUCCAAUGCACCCUCCCUCACCCUCCUGGAUUCCAUCGCAACUUCGACGGAGUCCUCCUAUUUUCAGACACUGUGCCAGGAACUUGGCUGUGACCUCUCCUCUCCUGGGGCUUGUGAUAGGGGUCAGCUCUGUGCCCCAGAGCCCCGCAGAGGCCCGCGUGCAUGUGCUGACCGGCUGACAGACCUGGUGUGGAAGUUCUGCACAUUGACGUUGCGGUACGGCGCUGUCUUCCGCUGGCACCACAGGAGCAAGCCUUCCUUGGCCGAGGUUUCUGGGUGGGGAUGGGGAGAGAUAUUAGCUGGGGAGAGGGGUCUGGGCCAGCCCUCCCACUCUAUCGCUUCCCCACCACUCACCCUCCACAGAGAUGUCCUGGAUGGCGAAGCGAAGGAUGAUGGUCCAGAUCAUGCCCAGGGUCAUCUUCAGGUUCCCGUCAACAAUCUCUGCAGGGUGGGGAGUGGGGACAGAUUCCAGCCGACAUUCAAGGCCUGUACCACCUCAGCUGCCUUCCCUCCUGCUCUGCUCUCCGGCCCUUGUCCCCCAUCCCAGAGCCGGUACCUAGUAAGUGUUCAAUCCCGGAACACCUACUAGCGCCAGGUCCUGUGCCGGCACUUUGGGCACGUUUGCCCCUUAACAGCCCCUCCCAAGAGGCAUGGAUGGUCGACUCCGUGGGUGAAGAGACUGAGGCUCACAGAAGCGACUUGACGCCGGGACCACCCUCCAACCCCCUCCCAGGUCUUCUCCUGCCACCUCCCUACCUUCGGCACCAAUGGACACCAGCUUAACCCCCUUGCUGGCAAUGAAGUCCAGGGCCUUGUUGACAUUGGCGAUCUUGUGGAAGCGCAUCUUGCCUUUGUCUGGCCUGGGUAGCCUCUCUCCUG